rnacentral:lncRNA from 1 species
GUGCCACGUGACCACCUGGCUGGCGCGCGCGCCUGGGGGUCUGGUCCCUAGCCGCGUUCUCGGUCGCUUCCCUCUUCUCUCGCCGCCUCCUGGCCUCCGCACCGACGCGGCCCGGGCUGGAGCCGAGCCGGGGCCGAGCUGCAGGCCGGACCGGAGCCGGAUCUGUACCCGCUGAGACGUGGAAACAUGGAGGCCUGAGCCGGUGUGCGCCACCUGGGCUGCGGCGGCGACAGCGACUUCUCCUGACCCCUCUGCCACCCUCCCAUCCGUCCGCGGGUCCGUGGAGCUGGAGCAGAUCCCCCAGCCGGCUGAGACAGGUUGUCUUUUGGAAAUGCAGGUUUAAGGACAAAUUAUCUGCUUAAGCUAGAAGAUGGGAUCGAAUAGCAGCAGAAUCGGCGAUCUUCCUAAAAAUGAGUACUUGAAAAAGUUAUCAGGCACGGAAUCUAUCUCUGAGAAUGACCCGUUCUGGAAUCAGCUUCUCUCAUUUUCUUUCCCUGCACCAACUAGCAGUAGUGAGUUGAAACUCUUGGAGGAAGCAACCAUUUCAGUCUGCAGGUCAUUAGGCUGUCUAGGCCGGACACAGUGGCUCACGCCUAUAAUCCCAGCAUUUUGAGAGGCUGAUGCGAGUGGAUCACGAAGUCAGGAGUUCAAGACCA